rnacentral:rRNA from 1 species
ACUCAGUGAAAUUGAUGUGGCGGUGAAAAUGCCGUCUACCCGCGGAAAGACGGAAAGACCCUGUGCACCUUUACUAUAGCUUGACAUUGGAGCUUGGACAAUCGUGUGUAGGAUAGGUGGGAGACUGUGAAACCGGCGCGCCAGCGUCGGCGGAGUCAACCUUGAAAUACCACCCUCGGUUGUUUAAGCUUCUAACUCGGACCGUUAUCCGGUUCGAGGACAUUGUCUGGUGGGUAGUUUGACUGGGGCGGUCGC